rnacentral:rRNA from 1 species
GACGAACGCUGGCGGCGUGCCUAAUACAUGCAAGUCGAGCGCAGGAAGCUGACGGAACUCUUCGGAGGGAAGGCAGUGGAAUGAGCGGCGGACGGGUGAGUAACACGUAAGGAACCUGCCUCAAGGAUUGGGAUAACUACGAGAAAUCGGAGCUAAUACCGGAUAGUUCAACGGACCGCAUGGUCCGCUGAUGAAAGGCGCUCCGGCGUCACCUUGAGAUGGCCUUGCGGUGCAUUAGCUAGUUGGGGGGGUAAUGGCCCACCAAGGCGACGAUGCAUAGCCGACCUGAGAGGGUGAUCGGCCACACUGGGACUGAGACACGGCCCAGACUCCUACGGGAGGCAGCAGUAGGGAAUCUUCCACAAUGGACGAAAGUCUGAUGGAGCAACGCCGCGUGAGUGAUGAAGGUUUUCGGAUCGUAAAACUCUGUUGUAAGGGAAGAACACGUACGAGAGGGAAUGCUCGUACCUUGACGGUACCUUACGAGAAAGCCACGGCUAACUACGUGCCAGCAGCCGCCGUAAAAC